AAUUGCAGAAUCCCGUGAACCAUCGAGUCUUUGAACGCAAGUUGCGCCCGAAGCCGUCAGGCCGAGGGCACGUCUGCCUGGGCGUCACGCAUCGCGUCGCCCCCCGCACGCCGCUCGGCGUCGCGGGGGCGGAUACUGGCCUCCCGUGCGCCUCGCGCCCGCGGCCGGCCUAAAUGCGAGCCCACGCCGACGGACGUCGCGGCAAUUGGUGGUUGUGAGUCAACUCUCUUGGUGCCGCGGCUACGGCCCGUCGUGCGUGCGUGCUACCCGACCCUUCAGGCGCCAUUGCGCUCCGACCGCGACCCCAGGUCAGGCGGGAUUACCCGCUGAGUUUA
rnacentral:rRNA from 1 species